GAGGGAAAGGUGAAAAGACCCCCGGGAGGGGAGUGAAAUAGUACCUGAAACCGUAUGUCUACAAGCAGUCGAAGCGAAAGCGACGGCGUGCCUAUUGAAGAAUGAACCAACGAGUUAUCUGCACUAGCGAGGUUAAGUGGAAGACACGGAGCCGUAGCGAAAGCGAGUCUUAAGAGGGCGCAAGUUAGUGUAGGUAGACCCGAAACCGCAGUGAUCUACCCAUGUCCAGGUUGAAGCGCAGGUAAAAUUGCGUGGAGGACCGAACCGGUGAGCGUUGAAAAGCUUUCGGAUGAGAUGUGGGUAGGGGUGAAAUUCCAAUCGAACGCGGAGAUAGCUGGUUCUCCCCGAAAUAGCUUUAGGGCUAGCCUGAGGUAGUAAGUAUAGGCGGUAGAGCACUGAUCGGGCUAGGGGCCGUAAAGGUUACCGAACCCUGUCAAACUCCGAAUGGAUAUACUGUAGAGCCUUGGAGUCAGACUACGAGUGAUAAGAUCCGUGGUCAAAAGGGAAACAGCCCAGACCACCAGCUAAGGUCCCCAAUGUCGUACUAAGUGGAAAAGGAUGUGGGGUUUCAUAAACAACCAGGAUGUUGGCUCAGAAGCAGCCACCAUUUAAAGAGUGCGUAAUAGCUCACUGGUCGAGAGACCCUGCGCCGAAGAUUCCCGGGGCUAAAGUACGAAACCGAAGCUGUGGCUGUAUACGUAAAGUAUACGGGGUAGGGGAGCGUUCCCAUAGGGUAGAAGUCGAACUGGAAGGUUCGGUGGACUUGUGGGAAGUGAGAAUGUUGGUAUGAGUAGCGAAAAGAAAGGUGAGAAUCCUUUCCACCGAAAGCAUAAGGAUUCCUGAGCAACGAUCGUCGUCUCAGGGUAAGUCGGGACCUAAUCCGAGGCAGAGAGCGUAGGAGAUGGACAACUGGUUGAUAUUCCAGUACCGGUAGUAAUUGUUUGAGCAAUGGAGUGACACAGAAGGGCAGGCAAGCAUGCGAAUGGAAGAGCAUGUGUAAGCGUGUAGGGUGGUGCAUAGGCAAAUCCGUGCACUGAAAGCCUGAGGCGUGAUGCGGAGUGAGCAGAGAUGCGAGCGAAGUUGUUGACCCCACACUGUCGAGAAAAGCUUCUAGUGAGAGAGCUACCGCCCGUACCGUAAACCGACACAGGUAUGCGGGGAGAGAAUCCUAAGGUGCGCGGGAGAACCCUCGUUAAGGAACUCGGCAAAAUGUACCCGUAACUUCGGGAUAAGGGUAGCCACUGUUGUGAAGUCCCACGCGGAUGGAGCAUAGAGUGGUCGCAGAGAAGAGGCCCAAGCGACUGUUUACCAUAAACACAGGUGCCUGCUAAAGCGAAAGCUGACGUAUAGGUGCUGACACCUGCCCAGUGCCGGAAGGUUAAGGAAGGAUGUUCGGAUUAGUCCAAAGCAUUCGACUGAAGCCCCGGUGAACGGCGGCCGUAACUAUAACGGUCCUAAGGUAGCGAAAUUCCUUGUCGGGUAAG
rnacentral:rRNA from 1 species